CAGCUCUUGCAGCAACGCAGCAACUCCAGCUCUUCUCUGUCAAAAUGCCAGACUCUAACGAAGCUAUUCCAGCAGGAUGCCAGGUUAUCAAAGAGGAUGUUAACAAAUGUGUCAGAGAGAAGGGAGUGGAAAGCUGUAAAGAUCUGAUGGAUGCCCUCCAGGCCUGUAUAAAAACCCUGUCGGAGGGAUCAUGAUACAUAAGGAAGUCCAGUUUAAUAAAAUUUUCAGUUUUCAGUUUCAUUUGAUCAAACCUCUCCACUCGCCCAGCAUUCCUUUGCUUGCAUAGUGCACUGGACCGAACCAUCGGAAAAUCUGAAGAGGGGUGUGUGAUGACACUGAGCAUCUGAGGCUCCAUACUUCUAUGUGAAACCAGAAUGUUACAACCCUAUUAUCGACUGAACUAUAACUCUUAUUACCUGUACACUGAAAAAAAGUACCACAAAUAAAUACAACAAUAAAUAUAAAGAUUAUCCAUUUACGACA